CUAUUUUAUUUGGGAGAAUAUUGAUUAAAAUGGAAAAGAUGUUGUCAUCUUUAUUCCAUACCAAUUAAAAAAUAAAAAUCAAUUAAAUAAGAAAUAAGAUAAAAUAAUUAGGAAUAGGAAACUUACCAUUUGGUGUAUUAGGUUAUUUUGGGCCACUUUAGAAUAAAAAGGGAAGAAAGAAAAUAGAGAGCCAUUAUGCUCUUGGGCUGCCGAAAAUAGAGAGAGAAGGAGAGAGAGAGAGUGGCGAACUAGAGAGAGAAAGGGAGAGAGGGGCUGCCAUUUUUCUAGAGAGAAGGAGAAGAGGAGGAAGAAGAAGGGAUCAACUUUAGGGCUUGAACAAAUGGGUGAUAUAGUUUGAGUUUUGGUCACUAUUGGGUGUUCUUGAUUUUACAAUCAAAAGAGGUAGCAAAGAAGUUUCUCUAUGGCACACGUGGUGAUGUGGGCAGUUCUAUCGUCAUGGUGUGGGGGCAUCCUAUGGACGAGAAACGAUCAGUUUAAAACGCCAAUUUUCUAAAAUAAUGUUAUGUUUAUUUUACCAUUCUAAACUUAUCAUUGAGACUUGAACUUUGGUUAUUUUUAAGAACUUUGCAUGAAAACUAUUAUUUUUCUUUUUAAACUAUUGGGCCCAACAUGCAUGUGUUAUUUUUCUCAUAUAAAUUC